GCACUGUGCUAAAAUUGCAGGAACUAAGAUUCUAUCUUGGUUUUUGUAAUAAUGCUAGCAGAGUACACACAAGAAGAAAAGUAACUGCACUGGAUUGCAAAGACUGGGGUGGACCUCUUUCUUAAUGUCCAGUGUCCUAUGUCAUAAGAUUCGGUGCAAUAAGU
rnacentral:snoRNA from 7 species